rnacentral:rRNA from 1 species
AGGUAUCAGAAGUGCGAAUGCUGACAUGAGUAACGACAAUGGGUGUGAAAAACACCCACGCCGAAAGACCAAGGGUUCCUGCGCAACGUUAAUCGACGCUGGGUUAGUCGGUUCCUAAGGCGAGGCUGAAAAGCGUAGUCGAUGGGAAACAGGUUAAUAUUCCUGUACUUCUGGUUACUGCGAUGGAGGGACGGAGAAGGCUAGGCCAGCUUGGCGUUGGUUGUCCAAGUUUAAGGUGGUAGGCUGAAAUCUUAGGUAAAUCCGGGGUUUCAAGGCCGAGAGCUGAUGACGAGUCGUCUUUUAGAUGACGAAGUGGUUGAUGCCAUGCUUCCAAGAAAAGCUUCUAAGCUUCAGGUAACCAGGAACCGUACCCCAAACCGACACAGGUGGUCGGGUAGAGAAUACCAAGGCGCUUGAGAGAACUCGGGUGAAGGAACUAGGCAAAAUGGCACCGUAACUUCGGGAGAAGGUGCGCCGGCUAGGGUGAAGGAUUUACUCCGUAAGCUCUGGCUGGUCGAAGAUACCAGGCCGCUGCGACUGUUUAUUAAAAACACAGCACUCUGCAAACACGAAAGUAGACGUAUAGGAUGUGACGCCUGCCCGGUGCCGGAAGGUUAAUUGAUGGGGUUAGCGCAAGCGAAGCUCUUGAUCGAAGCCCCGGUAAACGGCGGCCGUAACGAUAACGGUCCUAAGGUAGCGAAAUUCCUUGUCGGGUAAGUUCCGGCCUGCACGAAUGGCGUAACGAUGGCGGCGCUGUCUCCACCCGAGACUCAGUGAAAUUGAAAUCGCUGUGAAGACGCAGUGUAUCCGCGGCUAGACGGAAAGACCCCGUGAACCUUUACUGUAGCUUUGCACUGGACUUUGAGCCUGCUUGUGUAGGAUAGGUGGGAGGCUUUGAAGCGUGGACGCCAGUUCGCGUGGAGCCAUCCUUGAAAUACCACCCUGGCAUGCUUGAGGUUCUAACUCUGGUCCGUAAUCCGGAUCGAGGACAGUGUAUGGUGGGCAGUUUGACUGGGGCGGUCUCCUCCUAAAGAGUAACGGAGGAGUACGAAGGUGCGCUCAGACCGGUCGGAAAUCGGUCGCAGAGUAUAAAGGCAAAAGCGCGCUUGACUGCGAGACAGACACGUCGAGCAGGUACGAAAGUAGGUCUUAGUGAUCCGGUGGUUCUGUAUGGAAGGGCCAUCGCUCAACGGAUAAAAGGUACUCCGGGGAUAACAGGCUGAUACCGCCCAAGAGUUCAUAUCGACGGCGGUGUUUGGCACCUCGAUGUCGGCUCAUCACAUCCUGGGGCUGAAGCCGGUCCCAAGGGUAUGGCUGUUCGCCAUUUAAAGUGGUACGCGAGCUGGGUUUAGAACGUCGUGAGACAGUUCGGUCCCUAUCUGCCGUGGACGUUUGAGAUUUGAGAGGGGCUGCUCCUAGUACGAGAGGACCGGAGUGGACGAACCUCUGGUGUUCCGGUUGUCACGCCAGUGGCAUUGCCGGGUAGCUAUGUUCGGAAAAGAUAACCGCUGAAAGCAUCUAAGCGGGAAACUUGCCUCAAGAUGAGAUCUCACUGGGAACUUGAUUCCCCUGAAGGGCCGUCGAAGACUACGACGUUGAUAGGCUGGGUGUGUAAGCGUUGUGAGGCGUUGAGCUGACCAGUACUAAUUGCCCGUGAGGCUUGACC